GAUUAACGCUAGCGGCAGGCCUAAUACAUGCAAGUCGAACGGGAUUCAAAGUAGCAAUAUUUUGAUGAGAGUGGCGCACGGGUGAGUAACACGUAUGCAAUUUACCUUUAACUGGGGGAUAGCCCUCCGAAAGGAGGAUUAAUACCGCAUAAUAUAUUGAAAUGGCAUCAUUUUAAUAUUAAACCUACGGGGUUAAAGAUGAGCAUGCAUCCGAUUAGCUAGUUGGUGUGGUAACGGCUCACCAAGGCAACGAUCGGUAGGGGUCUGAGAGGAUGAUCCCCCACACUGGUACUGAGACACGGACCAGACUCCUACGGGAGGCAGCAGUAAGGAAUAUUGGACAAUGGAGGCAACUCUGAUCCAGCCAUGCCGCGUGAAGGAUUAAGGCCCUAUGGGUUGUAAACUUCUUUAGACGGGACAAAACCCCUUUACGUGUAAAGGUUGAUGGUACUGUCAGAAUAAGCAUCGGCUAACUUCGUGCCAGCAGCCGCGGUAAAAUGCGUA
rnacentral:rRNA from 1 species